AGCUUGGCGCAGUGUCAGUAUCGUAGCCAAUGAGGUUUAUCCGAGGUGCGAUUAUUGCUAGUUGAAAACUUUUCCCAAUACCCCACCAUGACAACUUGAAAUAUAGUCAGCACUGGCAAUUUUUGACAGUCUUUAUGGAGA
ensembl:snRNA U4 U4 spliceosomal RNA